rnacentral:rRNA from 1 species
UUGACCUCAAAUCGGGUGAGACUACCCGCCGAACUUAAGCAUAUCAAUAAGCGGAGGAAAAGAAACUAACGAGGAUUCCCCUAGUAACUGCGAGUGAAGCGGGAAAAGCUCAAAUUUAAAAUCUGGUGGCCUUCAGGUCGUCCGAGUUGUAAUUUAGAGAAGCGUCUUCCGCGCCGGACCGUGCACAAGUCUCCUGGAACGGAGCGUCAUAGAGGGUGAGAAUCCCGUCUUUGGCACGGAACCACCGGGGCUACCGUGAUGCGCUCUCGAAGAGUCGAGUUGUUUGGGAAUGCAGCUCAAAAUGGGUGGUGAACUCCAUCUAAAGCUAAACAUUGGCGAGAGACCGAUAGCGAACAAGUACCGUGAGGGAAAGAUGAAAAGCACUUUGGAAAGAGAGUGAAACAGUACGUGAAAUUGUUGAAAGGGAAACGCUUGGGGUCAGUCGCGUCGAUCGAGACUCAGCCUCGCCUCGGCUUGGUGUAUUUCUUGGCCGACGGGCCAGCGUUGAUUUUGUCCCUCGGAUAAUGGCAAGGGAAAGGUGGCACCCUUCACGGGGUGUGUUAUAGUCCCCUGUCGCAUGCGAGGGCUGGGAUCAAGGAACUCAGCACGCGCCUAUGACGGYGUCGGGGCUUCGGCCCACGUUUACGUGCUUAGGACGCUGGCGUAAUGGCUCCAAACGACCCGUCUUGAAACA